UACAGAGGGGGCAAGCGUUAUUCGGAAUUAUUGGGCGUAAAGGGCGCGUAGGCGGCCUUUCAAGUGACGGGUGAAAGCCCUCGGCUUAACCGAGGAACUGCCUGUCAGACUGGAAGGCUUGAGACCGGGAGAGGUGAGUGGAAUUCCCAGUGUAGCGGUGAAAUGCGUAGAUAUUGGGAGGAACACCAGUGGCGAAGGCGGCUCACUGGACCGGUACUGACGCUGAGACGCGAAAGCGUGGGGAGCGAACAGG
rnacentral:rRNA from 1 species